rnacentral:snoRNA from 1 species
UGGAUCAAUGGUGAGUAUUUGGUGGAGGUAUCUGAAUCAACACCUUUGAUAAAGCCCUCUGUGUAACUCUGAGGUCCAU